UUCAACCUCAAAAGAAGCAGAGGGGGCUUAGUGGUGGGGUGACUGCGUACCUUUUGUAUAAUGGGUCAGCGACUUAUAUUCUGUAGCAAGGUUAACUGUAUAGGGGAGCCGGAGGGAAACCGAGUCUUAACCGGGCGUUAAGUUGCAGGGUAUAGACCCGAAACCCGGUGAUCUAGCCAUGGGCAGGUUGAAGGUUGGGUAACACUAACUGGAGGACCGAACCGACUAAUGUUGAAAAAUUAGCGGAUGACCUGUGGCUGGGGGUGAAAGGCCAAUCAAACCGGGAGAUAGCUGGUUCUCCCCGAAAGCUAUUUAGGUAGCGCCUCGUGAAUUCAUCUCCGGGGGUAGAGCACUGUUUCGGCUAGGGGGCCAUCCCGGCUUACCAACCCGAUGCAAACUGCGAAUACCGGAGAAUGUUAUCACGGGAGACACACGGCGGGUGCUAAUGUCCGUCGUGAAGAGGGAAACAACCCAGACCGCCAGCUAAGGUCCCAAAGUCAUGGUUAAGUGGGAAACGAUGUGGGAAGGCCCAGACAGCCAGGAUGUUGGCUUAGAAGCAGCCAUCAUUUAAAGAAAGCGUAAUAGCUCACUGGUCGAGUCGGCCUGCGCGGAAGAUGUAACGGGGCUAAACCAUGCACCGAAGCUGCGGCAGCGACACCGUGUGUUGUUGGGUAGGGGAGCGUUCUGUAAGCCUGUGAAGGUGUGCUGUGAGGCAUGCUGGAGGUAUCAGAAGUGCGAAUGCUGACAUAAGUAACGAUAAAGCGGGUGAAAAGCCCGCUCGCCGGAAGACCAAGGGUUCCUGUCCAACGUUAAUCGGGGCAGGGUGAGUCGACCCCUAAGGCGAGGCCGAAAGGCGUAGUCGAUGGGAAACGGGUUAAUAUUCCCGUACUUGGUGUUACUGCGAAGGGGGGACGGAGAAGGCUAUGUUGGCCGGGCGACGGUUGUCCCGGUUUAAGCGUGUAGGUAUGUGUUCCAGGUAAAUCCGGUUCACUUUAACACUGAGGCGUGACGACGAGGCACUACGGUGCUGAAGCAACAAAUGCCCUGCUUCCAGGAAAAGCCUCUAAGCAUCAGGUAACAUCAAAUCGUACCCCAAACCGACACAGGUGGUCAGGUAGAGAAUACCAAGGCGCUUGAGAGAACUCGGGUGAAGGAACUAGGCAAAAUGGUGCCGUAACUUCGGGAGAAGGCACGCUGACACGUAGGUGAAGUGAUUUACUCACGGAGCUGAAGUCAGCCGAAGAUACCAGCUGGCUGCAACUGUUUAUUAAAAACACAGCACUGUGCAAACACGAAAGUGGACGUAUACGGUGUGACGCCUGCCCGGUGCCGGAAGGUUAAUUGAUGGGGUCAGCGCAAGCGAAGCUCCUGAUCGAAGCCCCGGUAAACGGCGGCCGUAACUAUAACGGUCCUAAGGUAGCGAAAUUCCUUGUCGGGUAAGUUCCGACCUGCACGAAUGGCGUAAUGAUGGCCAGGCUGUCUCCACCCGAGACUCAGUGAAAUUGAACUCGCUGUGAAGAUGCAGUGUACCCGCGGCAAGACGGAAAGACCCCGUGAACCUUUACUAUAGCUUGACACUGAACAUUGAGCCUUGAUGUGUAGGAUAGGUGGGAGGCUUUGAAGUGUGGACGCCAGUCUGCAUGGAGCCGACCUUGAAAUACCACCCUUUAAUGUUUGAUGUUCUAACGUGGACCCGUGAUCCGGGUUGCGGACAGUGUCUGGUGGGUAGUUUGACUGGGGCGGUCUCCUCCUAAAGAGUAACGGAGGAGCACGAAGGUUGGCUAAUCCUGGUCGGACAUCAGGAGGUUAGUGCAAUGGCAUAAGCCAGCUUGACUGCGAGCGUGACGGCGCGAGCAGGUGCGAAAGCAGGUCAUAGUGAUCCGGUGGUUCUGAAUGGAAGGGCCAUCGCUCAACGGAUAAAAGGUACUCCGGGGAUAACAGGCUGAUACCGCCCAAGAGUUCAUAUCGACGGCGGUGUUUGGCACCUCGAUGUCGGCUCAUCACAUCCUGGGGCUGAAGUAGGUCCCAAGGGUAUGGCUGUUCGCCAUUUAAAGUGGUACGCGAGCUGGGUUUAGAACGUCGUGAGACAGUUCGGUCCCUAUCUGCCGUGGGCGCUGGAGAACUGAGGGGGGCUGCUCCUAGUACGAGAGGACCGGAGUGGACGCAUCACUGGUGUUCGGGUUGUCAUGCCAAUGGCACUGCCCGGUAGCUAAAUGCGGAAGAGAUAAGUGCUGAAAGCAUCUAAGCACGAAACUUGCCCCGAGAUGAGUUCUCCCUGAGACUUUAGGUCUCCUGAAGGAACGUUGAAGACGACGACGUUGAUAGGCCGGGUGUGUAAGCGCAGCGAUGCGUUGAGCUAACCGGUACUAAUGAACCGUGAGGCUUAACCUU
rnacentral:rRNA from 1 species